AAACGACCUCAGUUCGGACGAGAUCACCCGCUAAACUUAAGCAUAUCGCUAAGCGGAGGAAAAGAAACUAACAAGGAUUCCCUCAGUAGCGGCGAGCGAACAGGGAAGAGCCCAGCGCCGAAUCCCACGGUCCGAGAGGACCGAUCGGGAAAUGUGGCGUUAAGGAGGAUCCGCAAGCCCCGGAGUCGCGCGAGGCGCGUCAAAGUCCUUCUUGAAAGAGGCCGAUCCACCCGCAGAGGGUGCCAGGCCCGUAGGACCGCCUCCCGACGACGGGUCGGAUCUCUCCCUAGAGUCGGGUUGCUCGAGAUUGCAGCCCUAAGCAGGUGGUAAACUCCAUCUAAGGCUAAAUACGACCACGAGACCGAUAGCGAACAAGUACCGCGAGGGAAAGUUGAAAAGAACUUUGAAGAGAGAGUUCAAGAGUACGUGAAACCGUUCAGGGGUGAACCUGAGAAACCCGAAAGGUCGAAAGUCGAGAUACAGCGUUCGUCCGCACAUCAUGUUGUGUCGUCGAUCGAAACGUCUUGUCUGGUCCGAUACGGAGACGUUCUCGAUGCUUCGGCGCGGCGACGUGCACUUCUCGGCGAGUAGGACGUCGCGACCCGUUGGGUCGUAGCCGACGCUUUACGGGAAGUUGCGGGAAGCUCGGAAGAACGAAACGGGAGUGUUGCGGCCUCCCGUCCAGUUCCCCGAACCCGUCGACGUUCUCUCUGCGUUCGGCACGCCCGACGCGAUGUGUUACAUCCGUUAACGAUCCGACCGGCGGAGCGCUCGAGGCGCGUCCGUCCCGUCCGCGUCGUUCCGAAACCCCCGGUACCGGCGUAGUUCCCGGCGGCCUACGGUCGUCGACUCCGGGAAAGGGGCCGGUUCGGACGCGCGACGGCGUUCUCGGACACGACCUACUCUAAACGGGUCGCUUCCGCCGUCGGUCCGCGACGCUAUUGCUUUGGGUAAUCUCAGGACCCGUCUUGAAACACGGACCAAGGAGUCCAACGUGGGCGCGAGUCAAUGGGCGCAUAAUAGAAACCCAAAGGCGAAGCGAAAGCGAAGUACGGAUCGCGCGUUUCGGCGUGCCUUCCGUCCGUCGGGAGGAUGGGCGACGAUUUAACGAUCGCCCCGCACUCCCGGGGCGUCUCGCGCAUCGGUAUCGGAGCGUAGACGCCGCAGACGCGCGCGCGGUUCGGUUUCGGCCGAAUCGCGCCGCUCCGCGGCUCCCUUCGGUACCGGAGACGCACCUCUAGCGCUCACGCUGGGACCCGAAAGAUGGUGAACUAUGCCUGGUCAGGACGAAGUCAGGGGAAACCCUGAUGGAGGUCCGCAGCGAUUCUGACGUGCAAAUCGAUCGUCAGAACUGGGUAUAGGGGCGAAAGACCAAUCGAACCGUCUAGUAGCUGGUUCCCCCCGAAGUUUCCCUCAGGAUAGCUGGCGCUCGCAUCUCAGAUUCUCAUGCGGUAAAGCGAAUGAUUAGAGCGAAUCGGGGUCGAAACGACCUCUACCUAUUCUCAAACUUUAAAUGUGUGAGAUCUCCGGCUUGCCCGAUUGCACGAAGCCGCGAGAUCGGAUCUAGAGUGCCAAGUGGGCCAUUUUUGGUAAGCAGAACUGGCGCUGUGGGAUGAACCAAACGUAAAGUUAAAGCGCUCAAAUCGACGCUCAUGGGAGACCAUGAAAGGCGUUGGUAACUCAGGACAGCAGGACGGUGACCAUGGAAGUCGGAAUCCGCUAAGGAGUGUGUAACAACUCACCUGCCGAAGUUACCAGCCCUGAAAAUGGAUAGCGCUCAAGCGUCGUGCUUAUACUUUACCGUCGGCGGCAAGUGCGAAUACACACGCAAACAGAGGCCCCGACGAGUAGGGGGGUCGCGACGGUGCGCGCAGAAGGAUCGGGCGUGAGCCCGUCUGGAGCCGCCGUCGGCGCAGAUCUUGGUGGUAGUAGCAAAUACUUCAGUGAGCACCUGGAGGACUGAGGUGGAGAAGGGUUUCGUGUGAACAGCAGUUGCACACGAGUCAGUCGAUCCUAAGCCGCUAGGCGAAAGCCGAUGCUAAUGGGGGCGCUCGACCACCGUCUAACGCAGUUGCCGAAAGAGAAUAGCGCGUCGCAUCGUACGACCGCCGGGGGCGUGUGCGUGUACGCGUUCGUUAGAUGUGACAUCCACGACCACCUUUACGCUUGGGGGUGUGUGUGUGUGGUGUUCGUUCUCGACAUCUUUCGUUCGCGUUGCGUAUUACACCCACGCGCUCCGUCCGUGUAUAGUAGUCGUCGAUGCACGGGGCACGGCGCGCGCGUUCUCUUUUAGUUGUUAGAGUCGUAGAGAGUCGCGUCCCUAGGGCGAAAGGGAAUGCGGUUCCUAUUCCGCAACCCGGCAACGGAACCGCCAUUAUUCGGGCCCUCAUUGAGAGUUCGUCUGGGUAACCUAACACGACCCGGAGACGCCGCCGGGAGGUCCGGGAAGAGUUUUCUUUUCUGCUUGAGCGUUCGAGAUCCAUGGAAUCCCAUAGCGGGG
rnacentral:rRNA from 1 species